rnacentral:rRNA from 1 species
CCCUUAGAUGUCCGGGGCCGCACGCGCGCUACAAUGGAUGAAUCAACGCGUCAUCCUGGCCCGAAAGGGUUGGGGAACCGCUGAACCUCAUCCGUGGUUGGGAUUGGGGUUUGUAAUUAUUCCCCAUGAACUAGGAAUUCCCAGUAAGCGCGAGUCAUAAGCUCGCGUUGAUUACGUCCCUGCCCUUUGUACACACCGCCCGUCGCUACUAUCGAUUGGAUGGUUUAGUGAGAUCCUCGGAUUGGUCACGGCACGGUGGCAACACUGCGUCGGUGUGCCGAGAAGACGAUCAAACUUGAUCAUCUAGAGGAAGUAAAAGUCGUAACA